UACGGAGGGUGCAAGCGUUAUCCGGAUUUAUUGGGUUUAAAGGGUCCGUAGGCGGGCGUAUAAGUCAGCGGUGAAAUCUCGUAGCUCAACUACGAAACUGCCAUUGAUACUGUACGCCUUGAGUCUAGUUGAGGUAGCUGGAAUGAGUAGUGUAGCGGUGAAAUGCAUAGAUAUUACUCAGAACACCGAUUGCGAAGGCAAGUUACCAAGCUAGUACUGACGCUGAUGGACGAAAGCGUGGGGAGCGAACAGG
rnacentral:rRNA from 1 species